CUCUCUCCCUCUCUCUCUCUCUCUAUCUCUCCUCGCUCGCUCUCUCUCUCAAUCUCUUCUCCUUGCUAGCGCCAUCAUCUCCCACCAUGGCUCCUCUAUCAUCUUCCUUUAAUUUUUUAAUAGAAUCUGAAAGUUUUGGUUGGUUAAUCUCUAUUCAAAGAAUCUGUUCACUUUAGUGUUCUUGAUCCUUCAGUUCUUAGAUGAAGAGAAGUUCAAAGAAUCUGUUCACAAGCUAGAGCAGGAAUCUGGGUUCCACUUUAACAUAAAGUACUUUGAAGAGAAAGCUCUCGCUGGUGAAUGGGACGAAGUGGAGAAGUAUCUCUCAGCUUUCACUAAGGUUGAUGAUAAUCGUUACUCUAUGAAGAUUUUCUUUGAGAUCAGGAAGAAAAAGUAUCUCGAAGCUCUAGAUCGAUUUGUUUUACAAGGAGAUCACUCAGCUUCUGACUCUUGAGAAUUUCAGGUGAUUUUUGUUUGGUAUUAACGAACACAUUGCCUGCUGAGACAGAGACUUCUGAUCAAGGAGAAAAACAGAACAAUAGAUGUGGCAAGAGGAAAGAUUUCGACAAGAAGGUGAAAAGCUCGACGAAGAAGAAGAACAAAAGCUCUGAAGAGAACGAGAAGCUGCCGUAUGUUCAUGUUAGAGCUCGACAUGGUCAAGCAACAGAUAGUCAUAGCUUAGCAGAACGAGUAACUUUUGCAUCUCUCACAUUACCUCUUCAUUAGUGACAAUAUUGUAUAGUUUUCAUGAUUUAGUUAAGUGUCUUUAAUGAAGAAAAGUGGUUUCUGGUGUGAUAAAGUGGCCAGUUAGGUAAUUAUGUAAUGCCUCUGUGUAGCUCCAUCGCCGAAUGUUCGGAGGAGAAUAUUCAGAACUUGGGUUUUGGAGACUGAGAAGACAGAUGAAGAAAGCAAUGGAGUACAGGAAGUUAGGGGAUUCCGAGCUCAAUAUCAGCGAGAUUACUAUGGGCACUGUAAGAAUAAGAUUCAUCUCCUUCUCUAUUGCUAUCUGAUCAGUGAGUUGGUGUUGUGUAGCUUAAUCGAUUGAAAGUGAUUUAUGUUAUGGCCCCUAAGAAAUAUGAGUGUUUAUCUUAUCUUAUGCAUUGGUUUAUGAGUGAGUGAUUUUGAAAGUGAUUUUAGCUUAAUCGAUUGAAAGUCUCAACCUUUUUUUUCAAAACUACAAGAGUAAACAAGUAGCACUUCUACUU